rnacentral:sRNA from 1 species
CCACAUUUCUUCUCUCUGUCUCUCUCUUUCUCUUGCACGAAGAAAGAGAGAGAGAUAACAAAACCCCCCAAAAAAAAACAACAAAAAAA